rnacentral:rRNA from 1 species
UACGGGGGGGCAAGCGUUGUUCGGAAUUACUGGGCGUAAAGGGCGUGUAGGUGGCCAACUAAGUCCGACGUGAAAUCCCCAGGCUUAACCUGGGAACUGCGUCGGAUACUGGAUGGCUUGAAUCCGGGAGAGGGAUGCGGAAUUCCAGGUGUAGCGGUGAAAUGCGUAGAUAUCUGGAGGAACACCGGUGGCGAAGGCGGCAUCCUGGACCGGCAUUGACGCU